GGGUAGGAGGCGAUGCCUCGUCCUCCUACCCAACUCCUAUUCCGGCACGUCCACGUCGUGCAGAGCGGUAACAUGCGUUACUAGGGGUGCAAGAGCUCUUUUUGAGGAGGAGCUCUUUUUGCUGCACUAGUUGCAUCAGAUGGUAACGCAUGGCUAAGCCGGAAAGGGGGAGACAGGCCAACAAAUUAGUGCUGGAAAUUUGUUGGUUCUGGCUUCUGUAAAUAGUGUAAAGUCCACAGCUCCUGCUGUACGAAGUAGUGAGGCUCAGCAUCCCGGCCUUACCUUCAACGGCAAACGAAAAAACAGCGGAGCAGAUCAAUAAUAAUUAUUUUCAAACUGUUCCCAGUGUUCUGGAGCGUACAAUUUUAAUCAUUGGAGAAGUUCAACAAAACACCAGCCCCAAUGGCCAGCAAUUUGUUGGGGUUUGUGGAACAAAAUCUUCACCAGUGAAGCGAUCGAUGUUUAAGAUCCAGAGCUGAAGCAAAUUGAAGACAUUCUGCACUGGGUACAUGAUUUGUAACCUUUUCAAGAAUCCGUCUCUCUUCCCUUUGAUACAAGCUUUUCCUGCGACUAGUACUGCAACAUCAACAUCAGCCCAGAUCAACCACCAAUCAACAGAUCAGCAUCAUCAACUACUACGAUCAAUCCUUCCAACAAUCAAACAAUCCAACACUCCGGAAAAGUAUCAACCAGCAGUCAGGACAGUCAUGAUAAAACGGCAAAUCUUUCCUUGAACGACACCUGCUGUUGAAGCUGCUGAUUACGACGAUAAUUAGAGUAUGUAGAGUAUAUCAGAGAAUUGAUUUAUUUUAAUCAUCAUUAUUAUAAUCAUUUUGUAUGUGACUAAAUACGUUCAAACUUCCUUAAUGCACUAUAUACUACAAUUACUACAAUUACUUAAAUUUCUUUCAAUUUAUUGAUGAUACAUUAUUAUAUGUUUGUUUUUAUACUUUAGAAUAGCAAUACAGUGUACCCUUCGAUUUUCUUCUACAUUUAUGAUGUUCAUAAUUAGUAGUAUCACAUGGUCGUUGCAAUAACAUAAAUGUUUUCGAGCGAUAUUGUUGUUUUUGUAGUGGAUUGAAGGAAUUUCGUGAUGUGUGACCUUGCAUAAGUAUAUGGAUCAUUAGGAUCGGUGCUAAUCGGCCUACUAAUAUACAGCAUUUUUGUUUAGAGAACAUCUGACUUUACCAUUGUGUGAGGGGCCACCGAUAAGUACAUGCAUGAAUUGAAGGAAUGUGUGAUCUUAAGUCUUAUAAUAACCAUCUUUCGAUAAAUACGGUGGUAUCCAAAUUAAAUAAGGCUAUUUGAUCUGUAGAUUGGUAUUGGAUAAAAUUGGUUUUGCUAGUUAAUUAGCAGUAAGCAAAAACUUACUUUCCUGUCACAUGAUUCGAUGUGCCAAUAUUCCAUUCUCCCUCCGCUCUUCUCAGCCAGAGUUGCAUUACUUUCGAUUCCAACAACUGCCGCAGUCGGAUCGAUGCGUGCAAUAGAAAAUCAUCAGGCAAAAUUAAUUUGGUUUUGGUUUUAUUACUUAAUUUUAAUCUUUUAAUUUUAUGUAGUUUAAAAAAAUUGAAAAAAAACCCUGGCGCUUAGAGUGAAUAACACAACUAAAAUUUUACGUAUUAAUUAGCCUUAUGUUAUUAUAAUCUUACUGUAAUCUUCCGGAUCAAUCAUAAAUUGGGAAAAAUGUAUGAUUCUAGUCAAUACAUAACUUCACUACAUAACUUUCCUAUGCCUAAUUAGUUCUAUACCUUCUAAUGCUAUAAUGUUCAUGGUAUUUCCUUAAAAAUUCAACAAAUAUUGGCAAAUUUAGCAUUUAUUAACGCAUUUAUUUUGAAACAAUUGAUUUUUUUAAAUACGACAAGCAGCGCAGUUUCCCCAGACUGGUGAUGUAUACAGAAUUAUCGGUCUUAUAACACAUUCACACAGCAAGAGAGCUAGUUCUUGCGGUUCAAUUGGGAUUUUCUAUAUAUCAUGCAUAACUUUUUGGCAUUUUAUUGCUUUCUGCUCAACGUGAUCUUUGAAUGGUCAUCUCUUGUUUAUGUUUAACAUCAUUACUUCAUGCAAUCUCCGUGUUGUUAUUUGUGAUAUUUCUAUUCCGUUUUUUUUCUGGCACUUGUGAAACGUGUGCAAAAAUAUAGCCUCAGUUUUCUUGUCAGUAAUUUAAAGCUUCCAUUGCAGUUUAAUUUUAAUAAUUGUAAUUUAAAAAUUUGAAUAAUUUAAAAUCGUACCAAAAAUGCAGUACGUUUCCUUUUUCCAUUAUUUUCCUCAUUCUACCACCAAGUGGAGUUGAUGCGGUGGUGUGUCAUUUCUGUCUCCUUACCUCGUUUGUGCAUGAUAGUUUAUCCGUUCUACAACCAUCGCUUUCGGAAUCAGAAUUGAUCAAUUAAUCUUAAAUGCCAGAUAGAGUCAAAAGCUUUCUCAGCAUCAUGAAGAACUAAGUCGGUUGAUUUUGUAUUAAAUCUGUUGUAUAUGAUAUUGUUCUUUAAUUUAUGGAGUUGGUGUGCAGCAGCAAGAAUGGGAUGAAAACAAAUUGACUAUACAGGUUUAUGUUGUUGUUGGACGUAUGGAGUGUUAAUCGGUUUUCUAAUUUUUUUUUAAUAUUGUACCUAGGCAACUAAAAAGGCUAAUCGGUCUAUAGUUGACUGUGAUCUGUGGUUUGGGUAUCGCGAUAAUUUUAGCUAUUUUCCAUGAAUUUGGAAAGUAGCCAAAUUUAAGGCAUUUAGAAUGGUAUUGAGGUAUAUAAUGGCUUUUGAGGGUAACCUUUUGAAUGUGUAGUUAUUUAUGUAUGCCAAUGUUUUUUUUUAGUUUGAAUCUUUUAAGAAUCUGCGAAAUAUCUUUUGGUUUGAAUAGGUUAUUAUGUA